GACGAACGCUGGCGGCGUGCCUAAUACAUGCAAGUAGGACGCAGUUGCGCACGGGUGAGUAACGCGUAGGUAACUACCUAUUAGAGGGGGAUAACUAUUGGAAACGAUAGCUAAUACCGCAUACUAGUAGAUGGACCUGCGUUGUAUUAGCUAGUAGGUAGGGUAAUGGCCUACCUAGGCAACGAUACAUAGCCGACCUGAGAGGGUGAUCGGCCACACUGGGAAUGGGACACGGGCCAGGCUCCUACGGGAGGCAGGAGGAGGGAAACUUCGGCAAAGGGGGGAAAGCUGAACGAGCAACGGCGCGGGAGUGAAGAAGGGUUUCGGAACGGAAAGCUCUGUUGUUAAGGAAGCGGUACUUAACCAGAAAGGGACGGCUAACUACGUGCCAACAGCCGCGGUAAUAC
rnacentral:rRNA from 1 species